ACUAAACGGCUACCAUUAUGGUAUGGGGGCAAACAAAGCGCUUGAAAAUGGAGAAAUGUGUUUUUGAUUGUUCCCUUAAUGUUAAUAGUCAUCCGAACUUGAUUUUUUAUAUUUUGUUUCCUGAUCCAAAGAGAAGAAAAUCGUGGCUUUAUGCUUUAUAUAGAACUGAUUCAUCUUGCUAAAACAAACUUAGGUCGCAAAACAUGUCUAAGUAUGCUCAAAACAUUUUGUAUCUGGUAAGUUUUGUAUUUGAAUCGUCAAAAUAUUUGAGCACUAAUUUUUCUUGAACUUAUUAAGUUUUUUAUUCAUUAAUAUUAUGUACAAAAAAGUCAUUGCAAUAAAUCUUAAGUUAUUAAAGUCAGUUAACAAAUAAGUACUGACAAUUCAUUGACUGGAGUGGAAGAUGUUAGUGUCUUGAACCAACAUGAAACAACAAGUUAACUUAGCUGAGAAUGAUGGUAGUUUAAAAAUAAUGCAGCAUUGGCUAGGAUUGUUCCUAGGUCACAAAAACAAUCUUACAAAAGUUUCUGCUGUUGUCACUGGUUUUAGAGAGUACCUUUGUGAAUGAAGAUAAAAAGUCAUUUAUGUUAUUUUUU
rnacentral:lncRNA from 1 species